AGCUUUGCGCAGUGGCAGUAUCGUAGCCAAUGAGGUUUAUCCGAGGCGCGAUUAUUGCUAAUUGAAAACUUUUCCCAUAAAUGUCUAGAAAAGUCGCAAGAAUUAUGAAAUG
rnacentral:snRNA from 1 species